GCUGGGUGUGGUGGCACAUGCCUGUAAUUCCAGUGACUUGGAAGGCUGAGGCAAGAGGAUAACAAGUUUGAGGCCAGCCUUGGAGACUUAGUGAGACCUUGUCUCAA
rnacentral:sRNA from 1 species